CAUGUACUUCCUCCGUCCAGAAAUAUUUAUCAUCAAAAUGGAUAAAAAAGGAUGUAUCUAGAACUAAAAUACAUCUAGAUACACCUCCUUUUAUUCAUCUUGAUGACAAGUAUUUUCGGACAGAGGGAGUAGCAA
rnacentral:pre_miRNA from 1 species